AGGAUAACACAGGAAGAAGGCCCUGGCAAGAUGCUGGUUCCUGAUUUUGAAUUUCCCAGCCUCCAGAAACAUAAACCAAUAAAUUUCUUCUCAUUAAAAAUUACUCCAUCUCAGCUAUCUGAUUUUGCCAGCAGCACAUCCUGAAAAGACCAGCCAUCUCUGCAGUGUGGAAAGGAGUUGCUCCAGAGCUCAGCCCUGUGGACUCUACAGUGAGGCACCUCAACUGCUUUCCAAACAGUUUCUAUCUCUGGGCACAAGAACAAUCCCUGCUAGUGUUGUG
rnacentral:lncRNA from 13 species